rnacentral:rRNA from 1 species
GACAGAGGUCCCGAGCGUUAGGCGGAAUCACUGGGCUUAAAGCGUGUGUAGGCGGAUCGUUAAGUACCUUGUGAAAUCCCACGGCUUAACCGUGGAACUGCUUGGUAUACUGGCGAUCUUGAGCCACUUAGGGGCUACCGGAACAAAUGGUGGAGCGGUGAAAUGCGUAGAUAUCAGGAGGAACACCGAUGGCGAAGGCAGGUCUCUGGGCAUUAACUGACGCUGAGGAGCGAAAGCAUGGGGAGCGAACAGG